rnacentral:rRNA from 1 species
CCUACGGGUGGCAGCAGUGAGGAAUAUUGGUCAAUGGGCGCGAGCCUGAACCAGCCAAGUCGCGUGAAGGAUGACUGCCCUACGGGUUGUAAACCUCUUUUAUAAAGGAAUAAAGUGAGGCACGUGUGCCUUUUUGUAUGUACUUUAUGAAUAAGGAUCGGCUAACUCCGUGCCAGCAGCCGCGGUAAUACGGAGGAUCCGAGCGUUAUCCGGAUUUAUUGGGUUUAAAGGGAGCGUAGGUGGGUUGUUAAGUCAGUUGUGAAAGUCUGGGGCUCAACCGUAAAAUUGCAAUUGAUACUGGCAGCCUUGAGUACAGUUGAGGUAGGCGGAAUGCGCGGUGUAGCGGUGAAAUGCUUAGAUAUCACGAAGAACUCCGAUUGCGAAGGCAGCUUACUGGACUGACACUGACAUUGAUGCUCGAAAGUGUGGGUAUCAAACAGGAUUAGAUACCCUAGUAGUC